rnacentral:lncRNA from 1 species
AAAAAAUGACGUCUUCAACAGAGAGAUUGUCGAAUUUUCAAACCACAAAAAAUAUUCAUGCGGAAGAGGAGGAGAAGUUACUGUCAAGCGCCGAGAUGGACGAGUUAUCUUCGAUGGUCGGUCAGAAGCUGGAAGACAAAUAAUAUGGCACCAUCAUCCAGAAACUACGGCCAACCACAAAUGUAACCAUGCGCGAAAUCCCCAAAGAGCUUCAAGAUAAUGAUGAUGGGGAGUCUUACUACGAGCCUAAACUCAUUUCCAUCGGGCCAUACCAUCUUAAGAACGAAAAGCUUGAUCCCAUGCAAAAACUGAAGUUGAAAUACCUCAGUGAUUUGCUUGCUCGUAACAAGAAGAAUAAUGUGGAUGCGUACAUGGAUGCGAUCAAAAAUCAGUAUGAUAAUGAAAAACAAAAGUAUUGCGGAUUUGAGGAUUUAAAAAUCUCUAAAAAAGAAUUUCUGAAGAUGUUGUUUUUGGAUGGAUGUUUUCUUGUUGAAUUACUGUUGAAACAUAAUGAAGGUUUGCUGAUGUUUUCUGGGAUAGAUAUUGAUGACCUCAAUCAUGAUUUGAUGCUUAUCGAGAAUCAGGUACCUUUUUCUGUUCUCAAUUGUAUAUAUAAAAAUACAGAAUGGGAAUUACAAAAUAAAUUCAGCCUCUUUGAUUUGGCGGUUCAUUACAUACACAACGAAAAAAAGAAAAGUCUUGUGUAUAAAGAAGUCGAUAACGUCGACCAUCUUCUGCAUCUUCUUUAUAUAUGCCGGUCAACCAGUGAGCUUAAAUUAAUAAAUAGUGAUAUUAAGGAGAAUAUUAACAAAUGUUGGCGGUUUUUUACAACACAUUAUGGAUUUGACUAUGUGUUCUAUUGCAUCAUCUGCGCAUUUUGGAUAUCGAUUAGCUUCGACCUUGAAGAUGGCAAAUCUGAGAUGGGCAAAGAAUUUUUAAUAUACACGAUUUCCUUCUCGACUGUAGUUUUUGUACUGUGGAUGAAGAUUGAUAAAUGGAGUUCGUUUUUCUUGGUGAUAGUUGUGUAUAAAAUUAUCAGUUUAUUCGAAAAUCGACUCAAAUUUAACACAUCUUGGUGGACUGCAAAAGACUUGGGAAAGACUUCUUCUUUAGUACAUGGUCCUACAUCUAUCCCUUCAGUCAAAGAAAUCACUUAUGCUGGGGUACGAUGGUCAGGGUCAGUUACCAGCCACUCAAAGCCAUACAAGAUAUCCUUUUCUUCGAAUACGAAUACGAUGAAGGCCGGAUCGAUGCAGAUAAAUGACAAUAGCUUCUCCGAGUUUGAAAAUUUGUUGAUCUAUGAACAAGUCUACUUCAUUCCUAGAUUGGAUAGAAAUCAGAUUAAAGAAGAGUUUUCGUAUAUUUCAUCUUACACAUUGUAUAUGAGAAGCAUGAUGGAAAAAGUUGAAGAUGUUAAAUUGCUAGAAAAACAUGGGGUUUUCAACAUUUUAUCGAGUUCCAUUGAAGCUGAGAAAAUCAGGAAUUUCUUUCAUAAAAAACGGUCAUGGUUGGUGCUUACCAAAUCCCAACAGGAAAAAAUCGGAGUUCAAUUUGAAGCACUCAAAAAAGUCGUCCAUAAAGGUCACUCCAAACGUAGAACCAGACUUGUAAAAGAAUACUUCGUCAGCUUACUCGUGGUAUUUGCUUUUUUUGGAUUCCUGAUUGUUAAUGUUUUUACAUGCGUAUCAAUGAUCUACGCAAUAAAGUCAUACACUCAGGAUAAAAAGAACUGAAAAGAAGAAAAUAAAAAAGACUCAAGAAGGUUUUUGUGCUUGGAUUCAAUUAUACGUUUUAUUUGAAAGUUUGAUGUUUUUCAUGUAUUUUUUCAUUUUAAUGAUUUGGCUUUUCAAAUGAAUAAAAUUGACGUAUCUUAUUAUUAUAUAAUUAGACUAUAUAACUAAUGUGACAGAGCCAAUAAGCUUCUUGCUUAAUUUUUUUACUUAUGUUUUUUUUUAAAUUUCUAUACUCUUUGUAAAUUGAACAUUGACCUUAUUUUUUAAUGAAAUUUAAUUGUUUAAAAAAAAAAGUUUGUAAAGAUCAUAUUGUACAGGCCCGGAGAUUAUAUUAACUUAUCACAGUUAUUAUUAAUUUUUAUGAAAAAUCAUAAUUCGAAUCUCGUUAAAUUAAGUGUACUUUAAUUAAAUUUUCACUGCAAUAUAACCAUUGAUUGUAAGAAUAUAAAUGUGUAACAUAUUAUAAUUAGUAAUGAAUAUAUAUUAUAUAAUUACUGUUAAAAUAAAGAUAUGGAAAUUAGAUGAUUAAUCUUCUUAUACUAGUGUUAAUUAAAGACUUGUUGCUGAUCAAUGGAAGUAAAUCAUCAUGUUGCAGCUCAAGUCCUGAAGAGUAAUUAUAGGGUUAAUUAAGUUUAAUUCUAUUUGUAAUUUCAUGUUGUAAAUUAAAUGAUCCAGAGAUCAUGUAUUAAGCCCUAACCUAUACUAUGGGCCCAACUCGACAGUUCCAAUAUAAAAAAGCGUCUAGGGUUUCCACUUCUUCCAAUCUUUUCCUCUUCUUUCUUUUUCGUCAACUUUUAAAACCUUCACUACAAAAAAAAGGACAUUGUAUGACGGCCUUUAGAUGAUGGAUUUCCGCCAUCAAUAAUUCCUUUUUUUUGAUUGGGGACAUCCGCCAUCAAUUGUUGAAGUCCGUCGAGAAAAGAUUUUGGCUCGACGGCGGUUCAAAUUUAUUUUCGAUGGCGGAUUUUCGCCAUCUAAAACAUUCCGCCCAAAAUUUCGAAUCUCCCCCAAUAUUUAACCCGAUUACCCGAUUAAAUUAACUUAACAUGGCGGACAUCCGUCAUGUUAUGUUUUCGGGGAAUCGGCCGGAAAAAGCCCGCCCAAAUUUCGAUUGGGCGGACUUUUCCGUCUAUGACGGCGAAACUUAAUGCCCCAUAUCGCAGACAGAACGUGACUAUUCCCAAACCGCCUGAUGUACUUAUGAUGGCGGAUUUCUACCAUCUUAUGUUACAGACUUACAGAGAUAGCCGGCGGACAUCCUCCAUCAAUAUAAUUAACCGCCAUCGAUGAAUUGACGCCAACAUUUUUCGCACCAUAUUUUACAUGGCGGAUGUCCGCCAUCUUAUAAUUUUCAAUUCCCGCGAAAAUUUUCAGAUUAGAUGGCGGAAAUCCGUCAUGUAUAUUUUUUUUGGUGGGAAAUGAGGAUGAAUAAUAGAUGACGGUCUUUAGAUGGAGGUUAUGGGGUUAUAAUGACGGUCAUUUCCAUGACGGUCUUUAGAUGGCGGAUUUCCUCCAUUGAUCACUUAUGAUGGCGGAAAUCCGCCAUCUAAAGACCGUCAUAUGAGGUCUUAUUUCUUGUAGUGCUUGUCUAGAAUUUUAAUUUCAUGGUAUCAGAACCUAAGUUGCAAUUUUCCGAUCAAAUGAGAACGUGAUGUCAAAGGAUGGAAAGAUCAUCGUGGCUACUAAGUUGAAAGUUAUGGGAGGCCCUGAGUUUGUGUCGCCAGGACAGGAAAAGCAUUUACUAUGUGCAUGCAUCCGACAUGUUGGGGUCGUGUUUAGUGAAGAAGAAGCUCAUAGGCGAAACCAACUUCUACCGAUGGCAAUGUGCUAUGAAGGUGGUGCUAGUGGCUCGACAGAAGCUAGGGUUUACAACGGACGACAUCAUCAAACCAACGGUCGACUCCAAGGAUCACGAGAUGUGGGAAACAUGUAACAGACUUGUGCUGUCGUGGCUUUAUUUCAACAUUGUUGAACCAGAGAUAGAGACCACCUUGAUUUACACGGACUCGGGGAAAGUGGCUUGGAAGGACUUGGAGGAUUGUUACAAGAUCGCGAACAAAGCCUCAGAUCUUCCAGAUGAAGUAUAAUAUAAGCAUCAUGUCUCAAGGCAUGAGGAUAAUGUAUGUAUUUAUUUUCAAAAACUUAAGAGUCUUUGAGAUCGGUUACAUUCUUGCAUUAAGAAUCCAGUCUGUACCUGUGGGAAAUGUACAUGUGAUGUACUCAAGCAGUUUUCGGAGUUAGAGGCUGAAGACAGAGUACUGCAGUUUCUGCUUGGGUUGCAUGAAGGAUUUAUGCCGAUCCGAGGACAUAUAUUGUCUUUCAAUGAAAUACUUUGAGGAUUUAUCAAAAAAACUUUAUAUAAAAUAUUAAAAAACCCGAUUCCUAAAAUAUAUGGUCUUGGGUCGUUUCAAAUCCUGAAUCCGCCACUAAUACCAGCUAUGGAGUUAGAAUUGGAAUUUAGAGACGACUCAAAAUAAUUAAAGAGAUCGAGCGUCCUAAAUAUUGAACUAAGAAUGGAACUAUAAGUUGAUAGAAAUAAAAAAACUUUCUACACAAAAGAUGAGGUUGAAAUGUGGAUAUUGGUCAAGCUUCGACCAUAUCCACUACAAGAAAACAGGACUACGUCCACGGGCUUAGCCACUGAUUACCAAAAACAUCCACGGCAUAAUGUGUGGCUAAAUCAAAUGGCCGUGGUUAAUAUUUAGUCACAAAAAAUCAAUUUUGUGGUUCAAAAUCAAUAGCCACCAAACCUACGACCACGUCCGCUCCCGUGGCUAAUUCCCGUAGCUAAAUCAAUUUAGCCACGGAUUUGAUCAAAGGGCCACUGAUCUUGGCCGUGGACUUAGACCUGUUUUCUUAUAGUAAUCGUCAAUUGACAGUAGCUUGUCGAUCGUCUACACAAAAAAUUAUCUAACGUCAUCAAACAUUCACAAUUCGGAUUCUUGCCGUCUUUUUCCUUUUCUUUUUUGUUGUUGUCUUCUUCACUCCAAUGUUAGACAUUAAAAAUUAUUUUUCAAACAGAUUUAGAGAAGAUCAAAGAAUUAUAGGAUUUCUUCAAAAAUAAACCACACAUGAAAAGCAAUAAAAUUAUAAUAAUGAAAGGGAGCGAGGUUAACCUACCUUUAACUAAAAGUUAGGUUAAUUCUUAAUCUCCCUUCAUUUUGCAAUCAACAGCCUAAAUUCAAUUUCGGUUUUUAAUUUAAUUAUAAAACCUUAAGAUUUAAAAAUUACAAAUUAAGGAUUGCAAAAUUUAAAAAUUAAAUAAUGCAAAAGUAAAAAAUACUUCGAUAAAAUUACUCAUAUUAUUAGUCUUAUUAAUCGUAUACAUAAUUCUAAAAACCCUAAAAACUAAAAAAUCAAGAAGCAAAGUGAAAUAAAAUCAAAAGAUGAACUCACCGGAGAAGGAAAACGAGUGUUGAAUGGAGAAUUAACUCAUGUCGGAGUUACAUUGAUACAAUGCGAUAGGGAGAGCUAGAGAGUAUAAUGCGAUGAAAAACGAAGAGAAAGGAUGGACGACUUUUAUUUUUGAUAUGAUAACUUACAAUGAAAGUAAAAUAGGUUUUUUUUAAUAAAAAAAUCACCCCUAUAUUUCAAGCUAACAAGUUAAGGUUGAAUGGAUAAGUUUUGGUUUGGGCUUGCUUCAGUUGCUUGAUGGAUGUAUCAAGCUUAGUUAGUAAUCAAGCUUGAGUUUGGUUCAUUAGUGAUGAAGCACGUACGGAAUCUGCUACCAGUGGGCUCGCGGGGUGGCGAGAUGAGCCGGAGGCUGUGGAGUCCACGACGCGCGCUCUACGUCAAACACCUGCAGAAGAGGAGGGGAAUCGGCGACUCACGUGGGAGUAGGCGAUUCGGGCUCCUUGGUUGCUCUAGUGUGGAGUGUGAGUCAAGAGAGUAAGUUGUGAAUGGAGGACACCCCUCGUUUCCAUUCAAUGGAGUGGGGCCCACCUCAUUAUGGUGCCCUAUUGAAGGGUGCCAUAAUGGGGUGGGCCCGCCGUGUAACGGCUGGGAGUCGGCGACUCAGGUGUGGGAGUCGCCGAUCCAGGAGUGGAGUCGCCGAUUCCUUGGAGGCCAAGUCCUCGGUCUACCAGACCCGAGAUCCCUGGCUGGAAUCGGCGAUUCACCCUUGGAGUCGGCGACUUGGUAGUCCCAGUCGGCGACUCCCAAGUGUUAACUUGGGCUCUUGACGUAGACACGUGCUCCGCACCGUGGAAGCCUUUCCGGGGGUUCAGCCUAUAGCGACGGAACCUUAUUCCUUGUUUGAAGGGCGUUGCUGGGAGUGACUGACGUAAUCAGGCAUGUCUCACCAGUACUCCCCCCUGAAGAGAGUAUGGCUGAACACCCGUGUACCGCCAAUUAGCUUACAUGCUUGAGCCUAAACAAGCCCAAGCUCAAGUCAAGCCCGAGCUGCUUGUAAGCUUAGGCUUAAAUUUGCAUCUCUAAUCACCACUUAAAUUAAAUCACUUUGAUUUAGACCAAUUUCAUUAAUUUUAUAAUUAAAAAAUAUAUUCAAAUUGUCCUUAAUUAAUCAACUACUAUAUAACAAUCAACAACUCAUACCAAAAUUAAUUAAAUAUAUAAAAAAUGUUUAAGGUGAUUACCAAUAUAUUAAGAAUAUAUGUGUGCACCACUAAGUUUAAUGAUAAUCAUUGGAAUUUAAAAAAUAUAGUUUACAAAAAAUAUAUUAUUUUUAAAUAAAUCAAUGUAUUUUUUAAUUUCUAUAGUAAUUAAUUACCAUUUUUAAUACUAAGUUAAUUAUCAAGCAAAGUUAUAAGACAACGUUAAUAGGUUUUCUGAGAUAGUCUUUAAAGAGGUCAUUAAAACAUCAGUCUCUCCUUUGAUCUGAAAUAGAUGUCGGUCUUUAGAUGACGGUUAUGAAGUUAUAACGGCGGUCAUUGUCAUUACUACGGUCUUUAGAUGGCGGAUUUCCGCCAUUGAUCACUUAUAUAUGACGGCGGAAAUCCGCUAUCUAAAGACCGUCAUACAAGGUCUUAUUUCUUGUAGUGUAAGAAGAGUUGUUGUUACCUUUUGGAAAUAUCUACGAUAAAAGUAUGAGAGAUGCAGGUAUUAUUAUUAUUGGAGGUUGGUAUCUUAGGCAGAGAUAUUAUUUUUAUUAUUGAUUUAUUUAACACUCUUCUUUAAUUUAUUAUUAUUGAUUUAUUUAAGACUCUUCUUUAAUUUAUUAUUAUUGAUGGGGGUCCUCACCUAGGCAGAAAUAUUCAUUUUCAAAUCUAUUAUUGUUAAUACAGGUAGAUCUAAAAUAUUUAAAAAUCUGAGAUUUGUCUAUAAAUGGGAACAUUUUCUAUACACUAUUUCAACAAAAAAGAAAAAGAAAAAAUGACGUCUUCAACAGAGAGACUGUCGAAUUUUCAAACCACAAUAAAUAUUCAUACAGAAGAAGAGGGGAAUCUACUGUCAAACGCCGAGAUGGACGAGUUAUCUUCGAUGGUCGGUCAGAAGAUGGAAGACAAAUAUUGCACCAUCAUCCAGAAACUACAGCCAACCACAAAUGUAACCAUGUGCGAAAUCCCCAAAGAGCUUCAAGAUAAUGAUGAUGGGGAGUCUUACUACGAGCCUAAAUUCAUUUCCAUCGGGCCAUACCAUCUGAAGAACGAAAAGCUUGAUUCCAUGCAAAAACUGAAGUUGAAAUACCUCAGUGAUUUGCUUGCUCGUAACAAGAAGAAUAAUGUGGAUGCGUACAUGGAUGCGAUCAAAAAUCAGUAUGAUAAUGAAAAACAAAAGUAUUGCGGAU